UACGUAGGUGGCAAGCGUUGUCCGGAUUUACUGGGUGUAAAGGGCGUGCAGCCGGGCUGACAAGUCAGAUGUGAAAUCCCGCGGCUCAACCGCGGAACUGCAUUUGAAACUGUCAGUCUUGAGUACCGGAGAGGUCAUCGGAAUUCCUUGUGUAGCGGUGAAAUGCGUAGAUAUAAGGAAGAACACCAGUGGCGAAGGCGGAUGACUGGACGGCAACUGACGGUGAGGCGUGAAAGCGUGGGGAGCAAACAGG
rnacentral:rRNA from 1 species